rnacentral:rRNA from 1 species
GAAGGUGGCCUGUGAGGGUUGCUGGAGGUAUCAGAAGUGCGAAUGCUGACAUAAGUAACGAUAAAGCGGGUGAAAAGCCCGCUCGCCGGAAGACCAAGGGUUCCUGUCCAACGUUAAUCGGGGCAGGGUGAGUCGACCCCUAAGGCGAGGCCGAAAGGCGUAGUCGAUGGGAAACGGGUUAAUAUUCCCGUACUUGGUGUUACUGCGAAGGGGGGACGGAGAAGGCUAUGUUGGCCGGGCGACGGUUGUCCCGGUUUAAGCGUGUAGGUGUGUGUUCCAGGUAAAUCCGGUUCACUUUAACACUGAGGCGUGACGACGAGGCACUACGGUGCUGAAGCAACAAAUGCCCUGCUUCCAGGAAAAGCCUCUAAGCAUCAGGUAACAUCAAAUCGUACCCCAAACCGACACAGGUGGUCAGGUAGAGAAUACCAAGGCGCUUGAGAGAACUCGGGUGAAGGAACUAGGCAAAAUGGUGCCGUAACUUCGGGAGAAGGCACGCUGACAUGUAGGUGAAGUGAUUUACUCAUGGAGCUGAAGUCAGUCGAAGAUACCAGCUGGCUGCAACUGUUUAUUAAAAACACAGCACUGUGCAAACACGAAAGUGGACGUAUACGGUGUGACGCCUGCCCGGUGCCGGAAGGUUAAUUGAUGGGGUCAGCGCAAGCGAAGCUCCUGAUCGAAGCCCCGGUAAACGGCGGCCGUAACUAUAACGGUCCUAAGGUAGCGAAAUUCCUUGUCGGGUAAGUUCCGACCUGCACGAAUGGCGUAAUGAUGGCCAGGCUGUCUCCACCCGAGACUCAGUGAAAUUGAACUCGCUGUGAAGAUGCAGUGUACCCGCGGCAAGACGGAAAGACCCCGUGAACCUUUACUAUAGCUUGACACUGAACAUUGAGCCUUGAUGUGUAG